CCCGUUGGCAGACUCGGGGUCUGACUCUGACGACUCGCUGCCCCUGGAGACUCUUCUGAACGAGCUCCUGGAGAAGUGGGAGCGAGAAGAAGCGGCAGGAGAGAGGGAAAGCGAGGUACACAGCCCGUUAUCUCUCCCUCCACGAGACGAAGAGUUAGAGCCAGCACCUACUCCUCCAGACAGCGAUGUCAGUGACGAGGAGCACAGUGAACCUCUCCCCACGGCACUGUCCGAAGAGGCAGACACGUCUGCGGUUUGCAUCUCCGUGCCUGCCGUGGAUGAGGCUGACACAGCAUGGAUGGAUGCUGGCUCUGCCCCGGCUGCCCCUUCCCAGGAUGAGCUCUGCAGAGCUGAGGCACCGGCAGGGGAUUGCCCACUGCCUGCCCAGCCCCUGGCACGCAGCGCUCCUGCUUGCCCCGCCGGCAGCGCAGCCGUCCCGCAGCCCCUGGCCCCACGGCGAUGGCGCUCCAUCGCCAAGACGGCCCGGCGGGCUCUGCGACGGCUCUUCUCCUUCAGCUGCCUCAGGGGGCAGCGAGAGGACUGAGCCCAGUGCCAGGACGAUGCCCAAAGAUGCUGGCUCAGCCCUUGGACACUCAGCUCUCAAGGGCAGAGGCACGUCCGGGAAGCAACAGCACCAAUGGGAGUCACACACGGGAUGCACCAAUGGAUGGAUGGAUGGUGCCCGAGGCAACCACUUGCCAAAGGGCAAAGAAGAAAACGCUUCCCUGGAUUCCCGCAACGUGGACUGGAGAAGGGUGUUAAGCCCAGAUGAAUGACCCAUGCUGCUCAUGUCCACAAGAACCACAUGGGCCCCAGCACAGAGAAGCACUGAUGGGAUGCUACUGGAGCCAAUCAUCCUGGAUUGUCUCCUGUUUGAUGGUUUUCCCACCUCACUCCAGCUCAUGUCAUGUCUUAUGACCAGCAAUCUUCUCCGUCCCACACCGCAGUGUACCCCAUCUCCCCUUUUCACCGUUUUCUUUCCCAUCCCUUUCCUUCUGCCCCACAGUUAUUGUUAAAUAAAUUCCCCAUUAUUAAUUU
ensembl:lncRNA